rnacentral:rRNA from 1 species
UACGAAGGUCCCAAGCGUUAUUCGGAUUUAUUGGGUUUAAAGGGUGCGUAGGCGGCUUAUUCAGUCAGUGGUGAAAGCUCCACGCUUAACAUGGAAAUUGCCAUUGAUACUGAUGAGCUUGAGUAGAUUUGAAGUGGGCGGAAUGUGUCGUGUAGCGGUGAAAUGCUUAGAUAUGACACAGAACACCGAUUGCGUAGGCAGCUCACUAAACUCUUACUGACGCUGAGGCACGAAAGCAUGGGGAUCAAACAGG